CAUGAUGAAGCAUUUGAUUGAAACAGAUGUUUUGGCCUUAUUUUUUAAACAGUCGUUCUUGCUAUCAGUCAUUCUUCAUUUGAACCAUCUUCUCUUGGACCAGCCUGCUUCCUGCAAAGAUGGAACUAAUAGAAGUCACAGUGAUGGACUCUAGUGAAAAAUGAAAACCAG
rnacentral:lncRNA from 1 species